rnacentral:tRNA from 1 species
CGGGAUGUAGCGCAGGUGGUAGCGCGCGUGGUUAGGGACCACGAGGCCGCAGGUUCGAGUCCUGUCAUUCCGACUA